UACGGAGGGGGCUAGCGUUGUUCGGAAUUACUGGGCGUAAAGCGCACGUAGGCGGCUUUACAAGUCAGGGGUGAAAGCCCGGAGCUCAACUCCGGAAUUGCCCUUGAGACUGUAUCGCUUGAACACGGGAGAGGUGAGUGGAAUUCCGAGUGUAGAGGUGAAAUUCGUAGAUAUUCGGAAGAACACCAGUGGCGAAGGCGGCUCACUGGACCGUUGUUGACGCUGAGGUGCGAAAGCGUGGGGAGCAAACAGG
rnacentral:rRNA from 1 species